AUACGGGGGGUGCAAGCGUUGUUCGGAAUUACUGGGCGUAAAGGGAGCGUAGGCGGAGAUUCAAGCGGAUUGUACAAUCCCGGGGCCCAACCCCGGCUCUGCAGUCCGAACUGGAUCUCUUGGAUAGUUCAGGGGCAGGCGGAAUUCCUGGUGUAGCGGGGGAAUGCGUAGAGAUCAGGAAGAACACCGAUGGCGAAGGCAGCCUGCUGGGGACUUAUCGACGCUGAGGCUCGAAAGUGCGGGUAGCAAACAGGAUUAGAUACCCUGGUAGUCCGCACCGUAAACGAUGCAUACUGGGUGUCCGGGGGUUCCCCCGGGUACCGUAGCCAACGCGUUAAGUAUGCCGCCUGGGGAGUACGUACGCAAGUAUGAAACUCAAAUGAAUUGGCGGGG
rnacentral:rRNA from 1 species